CGAGAUGGAAGCAAAUGUUCUUUUUCACUCCGUAAAUUUGCAUUAUUUUUGCAUUCAGUCUAUGGAUGAACUUUCCACUAAAUCAAAGUACUAUUCAGCUUCAUAGCUUGCAUCCCUAUUUCUCCGUGGUAACAGAAAUGCAGUACUCCAAAGCCUCAACAACUUCUAUGUUUUUACCAGUAGUAGUUGUAAUUAUUAUGUUUUUAUUUUUUAAAAUAAUUUUUAUUAAAGAUUUUCAUAGUUUUACAAAAGUACAAGCAUUAUCUCUUUUUUCAGGUUGUGAUUUCUACAGAUGAGUUGCAUUUGUUGUGAGACAUUGGUGUUACAUGCAGUAAAAAGUUGGGAAGAAAAAGAGAGGGAAGAGAGGUGGGUACAUUCUUUUAUGUACUUAGUGUCAAUGUGGGGUUUAGUAUCAGAGUCACUUGGGUAGGUUCUCUUUCUAUUCGCUUGUUAUAUUUCCUGACCAGAGCUCUUUAAAGAAAGGGCAGGAUGCAAAUGUUGUAGUAAUGAUAAUACUAAUAAUAAUACUAAUAAUAAAUAAAUACUGUCUACUCUGACUCUUAGUGGUUCCCCAGGCCUUGGGAAGGGAAGCUUCUUUUCCAUUCUUCAAAAUAUUUUGCAGCAUUCCAAAAGCCAUUUGCUCUACCGUUGCUUAGAAUAAAUACAGAAGUAUCCCACAAGGGGGCAUGCUAGUCCCAUAACCAAACUUUCACUUGGGCCUAAAAUAAAUUUCUGUGUUUGUUUUAAAUGUAGUGAUGCGACUUACAGUAGUACUUAAGACCUGUGUGCACAAAUGAAAAAGCAGCUUUCCAAGCUAUUUCUUUGUAGGAAAUUGUGAGAUUCCUACGCGUCACGUGUGUGCACGCUUUUGGUUAAUAAUUCUUCCGUACCAGGAAUGCUUUUGGUUGAAUGAAGUGGUCCUGAGGUGCCUUCCUCCUAGCUGACAAGACUCUCUUUUUAAACGAAACCAUCCUUUUUAUAAAUAAUAGACGGGAGGACUCAUAGCUCCAUUGUGUGGUCCGUGCAUUACAUGAAGAUUCCCAAUUAAAAUGAUUAGAAGCCUUAGAAAGUGGCUCAGACUCAUGCUUUCUUGAACACAGGACAAGCGGAAAUUUCACACUUGUUCAAAUGUUGAGAUGCUGUUCUCUAACCAAAGAAAUACAUAUGUUAGGCAAAAGUAUUCAUGUUAAUUAAAAUAAUGUGUAAAAUCUGCAAAAAUAUUCAACAACUUUGUACAAAAAUGCAUGUAUUGAGGGUAAAUUGCCUGAAAAUUUGUACACAUCUUAAAAAAAAAGUGGGAAAAUUGAACUUAAGACGGUAAAAAAUGAGAAACUGAAGGUUCGUCCAUCCCUUGCAGAAACUCAAGACUUCUGUGUUGUUGCUUUGUUAACAGAAUUCUGAAUCAAAAAAUGUUUUCCUCCAGCUCCCACUGAAACAAUUUGGAGUUCUAAUAGUUUGUAGCCACCUGCAG